rnacentral:lncRNA from 1 species
UAUAUUUUUAGAUUUUAUCAUUUUUAAUCAUUUUUAAAUUAUUUUUAUUAUUUUAAUAUAAUCUUUCCCCCCAGUGUGGAGCGCAAACUCAUGACCUCAAGAUUAAGAGUCCCAUGCUUUACCAACUGAGGCAGCCAGGCCCCCCUCUCUUACUUUAUUUAUUGUAGCUAUUUGUUCCCUUUUAAGCUGAGAAAUCCUUUAGGGCAGAAUCUACGCGUCUUAUCUUUGUAGCUUAGGCUCUAGCACCAUUUAAGGUAUACAGGAGAUUUAUUUUAAUGUUAUUUAUUUAUUUGGACAGAGAGAGAGAGAGAGAGAGAGAGCAUGCUUCUGAGGGGCAGAGAGAGAGAGAGAAUCCCAAGCAGGCUCUGCACUGUCCAAACACAGGGCUCAAGACCACAAACUAUGCCAUCAUGACCUGAGCCAAAACCAAGAGUCAGACACUUAAUCAACUGAGCCACCCAAGCAGCACUUACGCAUGCAGUAGAUGUUUGAUAAAUGGUAACUAUUGCGUAGACAUACGAUAUAUACUUAAUAGCUAUAAUUUUUAUUUGAAAUGAUCUUCCUACAAUAUCUGUGUAUAUUUCCCCUGCAUUGUAUUUUGCCUCACAUCAAAAUUCCUUGCUUUUCUACUGGGUGUAGUCUUUCUCUCAUUUUAGAAUAUUCACCUGGCUUUAUUGUACACCACCAUGAUGGCUAGCAAAAGGGCACAAUCCAUGGAAACAUCUCAUUUCAUUUCUUUUUUUUUUUUAAUUUUUUUUCAACGUUUAUUUAUUUUUGGGACAGAGAGAGACAGACCAUGAACGGGGGAGGGGCAGAGAGAGAAGGAGACACAGCAUCGGAAACAGGCUCCAGGCUCUGAGCUGUCAGCCCAGAGCCCGACGCAGGGCUCGAACUCACGGACCGCGAGAUCGUGACCUGGCUGAAGUCGGACGCUUAACCGACUGCGCCACCCAGGCGCCCCUCAUUUCAUUUCUUAAGAAGAGAGCUGUCCAAAAGUUACAGAAUCAGAGCCCCUCUCUGAACAAAGUAUUGGACAAAAGUCGGGCAUUUCACAUGACUGAAUGCGGAAAAAACAAUUUCCUAGAAAAGGCGGAUCAAAAUAGCAUCCGAGACCUAUCGAAGUCCAGUUGUCUCAAGUGCAUACGGAUUUAUCUUUCUACUCCCAAUGCUUCCAGAUAUUACAGUGAUGUGAGGUAAAGCUCCUUGAAGACUUGUUUGUUUGAUAUUCCUUGACCUUUAAGGCCACACCCUUAAGUUACCCUCCCAGGUGAAAAACAACGCAGAGCAAGUAUCCACCUAUUUUUUUAGGGGAAGAGCAUAUAGAAUUUGGUUUUGUUGGAGUAGCUGAGGAAAUCUACCCAAGUCCUGAAGAACAAAAGUUUUCCUUGAGAUGGAGGUGGCCUAACCUCCAUAAGGAUUCUAGACCAAUCUAGGCACCUGAAUAUAGCAGUUGUGCUUUGUAGAAUAUUCGCUGAGCAUGAAUGUGUGGUUCCUCGGUGUGACAUUGUGAUUUAUAACAAGAAUUAUGUAUUUGGGGGGGGGCGCCUGGGUGGCUCAGUUGGUUAAGCGACCAACUUCUACUCAGGGCAUGAUCUCACGGCUCAUGGGUUUGAGCCCCACAUCGGCUUUAUGCUGUAGAUUCUGUGUCUCUUUCUCUUCUUCUCCCCUGCUCGUGCUCCGUGUGUCCCGCUCUCUUUCACAAAUAAAUAAAUAUUAAAAAAAAAAAAGACUUCUAUA